CAAACGACUCUCGGCAACGGAUAUCUCGGCUCACGCAUCGAUGAAGAACGUAGCAAAAUGCGAUACUUGGUGUGAAUUGCAGAAUCCCGUGAACCAUCGAGUUUUUGAACGCAAGUUGCGCCCGAAGCCUUUUGGCCGAGGGCGCGUCUGCCUGGGCGUCACAC
rnacentral:rRNA from 1 species